AUGGUAGCAAAAAAAAACAUGUAUGUACAUAUACUAUUUAUCACUUGAAGAAUAUGCAAACUAAAUUCCCCACGAGCUGCUAAAAUAAUAUUAUUUCACAAUCUUUGAUCGUGCUAAUUUCCAAAAUUUUAUUUGAAGGUAGAAAAAGAAAACGAACCAACGAUUUUCCUGUACUUCACUUUAACAUUUCCUGUUAUUUACUUCACAUAUAAACCUUCCGUGCUGACAACAAUAAAACCAAAGAAAACUGAAAAUAAAUUGUUUGUGCGUGGUGGUUUUGUUAUCUGGAUGUGAGAUCACUCUCUGGUAAGAGCAUAUGUACAUAACUACGAGGAUGGAAUGAUGGAUCGACCCAAUGUACUGACUGAAUCCAUGCAUAAACAUACAGGAACUGAAAGUUCAAGUUGAAGACAAGUGUAUGUACACAAAAUUAUACGCUCUCAGCCCCUUCAACUUGCAAAUACAUGGGAUAAUGUGGAAGACAAUUAUUUAACUACUGAACAGAGAGAUAGUGCAUUCGUAUUUACAAUCGGGGAUUAUAUUUCUGGAUAACAAUUAUGCUACACAUAAGUAAGUACACCUAAUUGAAUACUUAAUGUCAUGUCAUAUUGCUCGAGACUCUAUCUCUUCCUUUAUCAAAUUAAGUAUAAUAAUCCGAAUAGGAAGUAUGUACGAGUGCAUUCUCCCAACAAUUUUCUCAAGAAAAAAGUAAAUUCCCACACGUUCCACAUAAAAAUUAUAGUUCUAUCAGUUCCAUGGACAAAAAACGCCAUGCAAUUCUACAACUUUAUGCACAUCACAUUUAUGUAUGAUGUACAUACGACAUGUUGGACAGAGGAUAACUUAGAUUUUAUUUAAAUAUUAAAAUAGAAUUUGUUUUUAUCUUUACUGUUUUUUAUGCAUUCAAAUCAGAUUAAAAUAUAGUUGGCCUCUUGAUUUUCAAAAUCAA